rnacentral:rRNA from 1 species
CCUACGGGCGGCAGCAGUGGGGAAUCUUGCACAAUGGGGGAAACCCUGAUGCAGCGACGCCGCGUGAGUGAAGAAGUAUCUCGGUACGUAAAGCUCUAUUAGCAGGGAAGAAAAUGAUGGUAACUGACUAAGAAGCCCCGGCUAACUACGUGCCAGCAGCCGCGGUAAUACGUAGGGGGCAAGCGUUAUCCGGAUUUACUGGGUGUAAAGGGAGCGUAGACGGCAGAACAAGUCUGGAGUGAAAGCCCGGGGCUUAACCCCGGAAGGUCUUUGGAAACUGUGCGGCUGGAGUGCAGGAGGGGAAAGCGGAAUUCCUAGUGUAGCGGUGAAAUGCGUAGAUAUUAGGAGGAACACCAGUGGCGAAGGCGGCUUACUGGACUGUAACUGACGUUGAGGCUCGAAAGCGUGGGGAGCAAACAGGAUUAGAUACCCGGGUAGUC